GACGAACGCUGGCGGCGUGCUUAACACAUGCAAGUCGAGCGAUGAAGUUUCUUCGGAAAUGGAUUAGCGGCGAACGGGUGAGGAACACGUGAAGAAUCUGCCCUCCACUUUGGGAUAACACAGGGAAACCUGUGCUAAUACCGAAUAUUGAAACAUAAGUGGCAUCACUGAGUUCUGAAAGAAUUUCGGUGGAGGAUGACUUCGCGGCCUAUCAGCUAGUUGGUGAGGUAAUGGCUCACCAAGGCAACGACGGGUAGCCGGCCUGAGAGAGCGACCGGCCACACUGGGACUGAGACACGGCCCAGACUCCUACGGGAGGCAGCAGUGGGGAAUAUUGGGCAAUGGAGGAAACUCUGACCCAGCGACGCCGCGUGCGGGAUGAAGGCCUUCGGGUUGUAAACCGCUUUCAGUAGGGAAGAAGCGAAAGUGACGGUACCUACAAAAGAAGCACCGGCUAACUAUGUGCCAGCCGCCGCGGUAA
rnacentral:rRNA from 1 species